rnacentral:rRNA from 1 species
AGUUGAUCCUGGCUCAGGAUGAACGCUGGCGGCGUGCCUAACACAUGCAAGUCGAGCGAUCUCUUCGGAGAAGAGCGGCGGACGGGUGAGUAACGCGUGGGUAACCUGCCUCAUACACAUGGAUAACAUACCGAAAGGUAUGCUAAUACAGGAUAAUAUAAGAGAUUCACAUGGAUUUCUUAUCAAAGCUCCGGCGGUAUGAGAUGGACCCGCGUCUGAUUAGCUAGUUGGUAAGGUAACGGCUUACCAAGGCGACGAUCAGUAGCCGACCUGAGAGGGUGAUCGGCCACAUUGGAACUGAGACACGGUCCAAACUCCUACGGGAGGCAGCAGUGGGGAAUAUUGCACAAUGGGCGAAAGCCUGAUGCAAGCAACGCCGCGUGAGUGAUGAAGGCCUUCGGGUCGUAAAACUCUGUCCUCAAGGAAGAUAAUGACGGUACUUGAGGAGGAAGCCCCGGCUAACUACGUGCCAGCAGCUGC